rnacentral:tRNA from 1 species
GCCUCUGUAGCACAACUGGCAGUGCAGCGUCCUUGUAAGACGACGGUUGCAGGUUCAAUUCCUGUCGGAGGCCCCU